GUAGCAGGUAGCAUCGGCCCUCACCUCCUCGCUCAGUAGCUGUUUCACAGGCUUCGGAAUGGACUUCCUGCCUGCAGUGUUGUUGCUCACACUUGCUGUAAGUUUCGGAUUUUGCUCAGAUAUUUAUUUGGUGUCUACUGCGGUCACGAGGAGAGAGUAAAUAACAUCUGUUCUCAGAACUCACAGUGUAGUGUGGAGACAGGUCAUCGAGGGGCCACAGAAUUGUGUGUUCUGGAAAACGUGAGCGUGCCCUGGGUGCAUGGAAGCGGAGGCCGCCAGGCCUGGCCCUGCCUGGCUCAGGCAGGUAAGGUUUCCAGGGCCGGGGGUGCGGCCGAGUGGCCCUGGGCCGCAGAGGACACUCUUUCUGCUGGUUGUGAUCGUCCCAUGCGUAUUACCGAUGACACACUGUCAGCAGGGGAGGCCGAUUUCCGUUGGGUGGUCGGGAAGGAGCACUGUGGGAAGGUGUCCUCAGCGCUGGGACAUCGAGAGUGGAUAUCGGCUCGCAUGGGGAGCAGGGGAUGGGCUGUUAGUGUCGGCUCUGGGUGGUGGGGCAGGUUGAGGACAAAGCAUAGGCUGGGCAGCUGGCACAGGGCAAGAGUGAAGUGAGCCUUGGAAGAAUGGAGGGGCUGUGUCCCUGCCGAAUGACGGACAGGGUUUUGAUGUCAUUCCGGGAGCGAUGGAAAGCCGUAGAAGGAUGAACCAGGGCAGCGAUGAGAUCUAGUUGAUGUGUUUAAAACCGACUGGACCGCGGGCAGAAGUCCGGGGUUAUGGGAGGUGAGUCAGGUGCCCGUGGACUCCAGCGAGAGAGGCGCCGGGACUCGUGGGCGGUGGUGGAGACAAAGCCGGGGGAGGAAGAGCGCUGUGUUUUGGACCCAGAGUUGGCAGUAUCCGUGAUGGAGUACAUGGGUCUGAGGGCAGGACGAAGGGCGAGUGCUAGGACUGGGGUUCAGGCACCGGGCAAAUGGUAGUGCGAUGCUCUGAGGGGGGAUGCACUGGGAAGAAACCGGUUUCCUGGGGGAAUAGGGUGUGGUGAGUGGGACGGUUCAUGGAAGGCGUCCCUGGGCCCUGGGACUGAGUGAGUUGGGAGGUCAGUGGAGAGGUGGAGGCUGGACAUGGCCUUGGGCAGGUGCUGAGGGCGGAGAUGCCGGUUCAGGAGCCCGGGAAGUAGAGGGGGGAGAGAGUGGACAGGGGUGGAGGGAACCUCUGGCCCAGCGAGUGCAGACACCCAGCAUCGGCUUGGGUGGGGGUCAGCCAUGGAGAGGUGAGCCCCGUGUCACUUGGUGGGGAACCCGUGUCCCUGGGGGCCGGGGAGUGAGGGGACAGCUUGGGGAGAAACGUGGGUUCGGGUGAGAGGAAGCAGAGCCUGUGUGUGCUUCUGGAAUGAUCCGGGAGUACAGGGGUGAACGGAGUAGGGGGAGACAUGAAGAUGUGGCCCCGUGGAAGGGCAGCUGGUGGUGGCAGGGCCGGCCAGACAGGCCAGGGCAGCUUCGGCUGCAGGUGGCCGCUGUGCCAGGAAAAGUGGCCUUGGUGGCAAGGAACCUCAUCCCGUCGUGGACUUGCUCAGGGCAGCCGGCCUCCGGGCCCAACAGCUGCGUGGGGCACCCGAGGCCGCACGGUCUGCACAGACAGGUCAUUUGGAAAGUGACAGCACGUCGGUGACAUGCGUUGUGUUUACAUUGGAUGAUGGGAGCGAUGAUUGUACACAAACCGGGACCCCUUUCUGAAGCAUCUCAAUGGCACCGCGUAUUUGGAGACCCUGCACGACGCCCAGGAACCUUCUCCAUGGAAGCCGGGGUGGCUCGUUCAUCAGCCUCUCUCCGGUUUUUCACCGAGCUGUCUUUGGACAGUGGACUGUG